UUUGAACGCUGGCGGCAGGCCUAACACAUGCAAGUCGAACGGUAACAGGAAGCAGCUUGCUGCUUCGCUGACGAGUGGCGGACGGGUGAGUAAUGUCUGGGAAACUGCCUGAUGGAGGGGGAUAACUACUGGAAACGGUAGCUAAUACCGCAUAACGUCGCAAGACCAAAGAGGGGGACCUUCGGGCCUCUUGCCAUCGGAUGUGCCCAGAUGGGAUUAGCUAGUAGGUGGGGUAACGGCUCACCUAGGCGACGAUCCCUAGCUGGUCUGAGAGGAUGACCAGCCACACUGGAACUGAGACACGGUCCAGACUCCUACGGGAGGCAGCAGUGGGGAAUAUUGCACAAUGGGCGCAAGCCUGAUGCAGCCAUGCCGCGUGUAUGAAGAAGGCCUUCGGGUUGUAAAGUACUCUCAGCGGGGAGGAAGGCGAUAAGGUUAAUAACCUUGUCGAUUGACGUUACCCGCAGAAGAAGCACCGGCUAACUCCGUGCCAGCCGCCGCGGUAA
rnacentral:rRNA from 1 species